rnacentral:rRNA from 1 species
AAUGAACGCUGGCGGCGUGCUUAACACAUGCAAGUCGUGCGCGAAGGUGGCUUCGGCCGCCGGAGAGCGGCGAACGGGUGAGUAACACGUGGGUGAUCUGCCUGGGAGCGGGGGAUAACCUGGGGAAACUCGGGCUAAUACCGCAUACGUUGGCGAGGCUUCGGCUUCGUCAAGAAAGCUGGCCUCUGAUUUAAGCCAGCACUCCCAGAGGAGCCCGCGGCUGAUUAGCUAGUUGGUGAGGUAAUGGCUCACCAAGGCGACGAUCAGUAGCCGGCCUGAGAGGGUGAUCGGCCACACUGGAACUGAGACACGGUCCAGACUCCUACGGGAGGCAGCAGUGGGGAAUAUUGGACAAUGGGCGCAAGCCUGAUCCAGCAAUGCCGCGUGGAGGAAGAAGGCCCUCGGGUCGUAAACUCCUGUCAGGUGGAAAGAAAAGGCGCCGGUAAAUAGCCGGCGACGUUGACGGUACCACCAGAGGAAGCCCCGGCUAACUCCGUG